AGUGGCGGACGGGUGAGUAACGCGUGGGAACGUGCCCUUUGGUUCGGAACAACACAGGGAAACUUGUGCUAAUACCGGAUGUGCCCUUCGGGGGAAAGAUUUAUCGCCAUUGGAGCGGCCCGCGUUGGAUUAGGUAGUUGGUGGGGUAAAGGCCCACCAAGCCUACGAUCCAUAGCUGGUCUGAGAGGAUGAUCAGCCACACUGGGACUGAGACACGGCCCAGACUCCUACGGGAGGCAGCAGUGGGGAAUCUUGCGCAAUGGGCGAAAGCCUGACGCAGCCAUGCCGCGUGAAUGAUGAAGGUCUUAGGAUUGUAAAAUUCUUUCACCGGGGAAGAUAAUGACGGUACCCGGAGAAGAAGCCCCGGCUAACUUCGUGCCAGCAGCCGCGGUAAUACGAAGGGGGCUAGCGUUGCUCGGAAUUACUGGGCGUAAAGGGCGCGUAGGCGGACAGUUUAGUCAGAGGUAAAAGCCCAGGGCUCAAC
rnacentral:rRNA from 1 species